rnacentral:ncRNA from 1 species
CAAAGGUUUGGUCCUGACUUUUCUAUCAGUUCUAGCUAAACUUACACAUGCAAGUAUCCGCCUACCUGUGAGGAUGCCCUACAGUUUUCUUAUUGAAAACAAGGAGCUGGUAUCAGGCUCAACUACAUCUUAGCCCACGACACCUUGCUUAGCCACACCCCUAAGGGAUUUCAGCAGUGAUAAAUAUUAAGCCAUAAGUGUAAACUUGACUUAGUUAAAGCUAAAAGGGCCGGUAAAACUCGUGCCAGCCACCGCGGUUAUACGAGAGGUCCAAAUUGAUAAAAGCCGGCGUAAAGCGUGGUUAAGAAAACCCUAAAACUAAAGCCGAACACUCUCAGAGCUGUUUAAUGCACCCGAGAGCAAGAAGCCCCCGAACGAAAGUCGCUUUAUUCUAUUCUGACGCCACGAAAGCUAGGAAACAAACUGGGAUUAGAUACCCCACUAUGCCUAGCCAUAAACUUUGAUAGUAAAUUACCCCACUAUCCGCCUGGGAACUACGAGCACCAGCUUAAAACCCAAAGGACUUGGCGGUGCUUUAGACCCCCCUAGAGGAGCCUGUCCUAGAACCGAUAACCCCCGUUAAACCUCACCCUUUCUUGUCAAUUCCGCCUAUAUACCGCCGUCGUCAGCUUACUCUGUGAAGAGUCCGUAGUAAGCAUAACUAGCAAAACUCAAAACGUCAGGUCGAGGUGUAGCUUAUGAGAGGGGAAGAGAUGGGCUACAUUUUCUACCUUAGAAAAUACGGACAAUAUAAUGAAAAAGUAUUAGAAGGAGGAUUUAGCAGUAAGCAAAAAACAGAGUGUUUUGCUGAAGCCGGCCCUGAAGCACGCACACACCGCCCGUCACUCUCCCCGAGCUAUUUAUACUAAUUAAAUAAAGCCCAACACCAGCAUUAGGGGAGGCAAGUCGUAACAUGGUAAGUGUACCGGAAGGUGCACUUGGACAAAU